GAUGAACGCUAGCGAUAGGCCUAACACAUGCAAGUCGAGGGGCAGCAUAGAGUAGCAAUACUUUGAUGGCGACCGGCGCACGGGUGAGUAACACGUAUGCAACCUACCUACAUCAGGGGAAUAACCCGGAGAAAUUCGGACUAAUACCGCAUAAUACAGGGAUGCCGCAUGGCAAUAUUUGUUAAAGAUUUAUCGGAUGUAGAUGGGCACGCGUUCCAUUAGCUUGUUGGUGAGGUAACGGCUCACCAAGGCAACGAUGGAUAGGGGAACUGAGAGGUUUGUCCCCCACACUGGAACUGAGACACGGACCAGACUCCUACGGGAGGCAGCAGUGAGGAAUAUUGGUCAAUGGACGAGAGUCUGAACCAGCCAAAUCGCGUGAAGGAAGACUGCCCUACGGGUUGUAAACUUCUUUUGUACAGGAAUAAAAGACAUUACGUGUAAUGUAUUGCAUGUACUGUACGAAUAAGCAUCGGUUAACUCCGUGCCAGCCGCCGCGGUAA
rnacentral:rRNA from 1 species